rnacentral:misc_RNA from 1 species
GCAUCUUUUGUAAAUGAUUCAGAGCUAUAAGGGAGUUCCCAGUGCACGCAACUCCCUGCUUUGUAAGGAUUGAGAAAGGAUGACGAUUCAGAACUACAAAUGGAAGAGGAAUCAUCAAUCGUGCUUUCAUCUUCAUCAAAGAACAAACUUUGCUCUUCCAUAUGUUCAUCUUCACAUGAAACUUGAUCAUCCUGGAAAUUUUUCUCCUCUUCAAACACAUAAUAUUUCU